GGUACAGCUAGUGCCCUCAAAGAGCUUGCAAACAUUUGUUCAGGUCUUGUCUCCCUGGGUUUAGGAACAUGAAGGAUUUUGUGUGCAAGAUGUGCUGCUUGUUCCAAAGCACGAGUGUGUGCCCUGAAAACAUUGGGAACUGCAAACAACUGGAGGAAGUGUGAAAGUAACCUGGAGGACAAAGACACUAGCUCUGGUCUUUUGCUGUGUCAAGGUAUGGAAAAAAUAUAUUUUCCUGUCAUCCCCACACAGCUACUUCAAUUUCUUCCUCUCUUCAUAGAUUGAUUGCUACGUUGAAACUAAUCAGCCUCAGGGUGUCCCAUAUGGCCUUCAAAAUGGGUUUGUGGGCAAACAUUGGAAACUGCAGCCUGAGCCACAACUGAUGGAGCUGGUGGCAGAGGUGGAGACAGAGGCUUUUCUGCUGGUGCCCGGGCUUCUCUGCAGGCAGGGCUCCAUCUUGGCUGCAGGUUUUUGACUCCAUUCGUGGUACUGGGCAAUGUUGCCAGAUGCCAGGCUCCCACGUGUGCAUCUGCAGGCGUCAGCCCAGUACCGGAGCAGAAGGCUUGCCUCCAAUCUGACCUCCAACACAGGAGUUUUGUGCUAUGCCACUUCUCACUGCUCCAAACUCAUGGUUCAGGAUUUAAACUGGUGCAAAGCCCUGACGACUCUUCCUUACUUUAGUAGGGCUAAAAUUGCCCCAAGAACAAUACACUGCCUUCUAAUGACAUGUGUUGAAAUACUUCCAAGACAUGAAUGUUACAGAGCAGUCUUUACUGUGUAUUAGAGGUACAUUUGCUAGAUAAAUGCUGGUACUGCUGGAGGGAGAAGUCCCAUUCUUCACUGCUGUCCUCAGGCAUGCAGCAUGGGAUUGUCUGAUUCAAACUGUGAUGUGUGGCUGCAAUUUGUAAAAAAUUGGAACUAAGUUUGGUAUGUCAGCAUGGGUUUUAAAACAUUGCUGGUAUUCAGGAGCUGCUUUUCCAAGUUAAUGGUAUCACAGGGGCAAAGCUAUGUCAGGUACCUCUGUUAUGCCAAUGUUUUCCUCUGUUAUCAUUAAUACAAUACAACAACAUCCA
rnacentral:lncRNA from 1 species